CGGUCGCGCUUGUGUACAUACAUACGCCUCGGCAACUUAGAGAAGUGUUUAAUUUUACUAUCACAUUUUCGAGGGAACUGGCUGGCCUGGGAUCUUGUAGAACAAUUUCGUACCAUGCAUUUUUACAGCGAUAAUUCACAGCGAUUACCGUUGAUCAAAGUGAACACACACGUUGACGUAUAUGUGAUUUACCAUCUAUUCGUAAACGUCGAUUACCGAGGUAAUUAUAGUAUCAUAACAUACAAUGUAUCUCAUUUAAUAACCUACAUUUCUCAACAUUUCAUCUUUCAUCACAGUUAGUGCAAGGAAAAUUAGUUUUACAUUUUGUACUUGGUUCUGUGAUGUCGAGAUACUCUCAUUUAUCAUUUAUCAUAAUAAUAUAACGAUAAAAUGAUACAAUGAUGUAAUAAUUCAGAGAUGGUGUGUGGAAACUGGCCACUCCGUACGCCUGCCUGCCGGCAACUUGACGUACGCUUACCAAUCCACAUAAUUUUCACGUGCGUGAACCUCUGCGGCUCCCCCGCUAGCGUCGGUUCACGCGAGUAAAAAUUUUGUGGAUUGGUGAGGGUAUGUCAAGUUGCCGCUAGUCAGGCGUACGGAGUGGCUAGUUUCCACAUAUUAUCCCUGUAUAACAUGCAUACACAGGUAUAGGCGUAGGUUAGGUAUCGCGUGGCUUCUAAUAAACCCUGUAUCAUUCUUAAACUCGCAUGCAAAUGCAUCUCUGUAAUAUUGAUCUACUUGAUUACAGCACGUUGCAUAGCUAUCACAAUUCAUAAAACACAAUCAUAUACGGUUAGGUUGAUACUGAAUCGCUUCGCGGCCAAGCUCGCUCAGACAACUCUCUGUAGCCGGUCCAGCUACACGAAAAAUUUGUCCAAACGCGCGCUUGGCCGCGAAGCGAUUCAGAACCAACUCAACCAGGCUAUCGCAAUCACGAGUGUUGCAAGUUAUUUGUACGCCAGAUAAACGCGUUCCUCUGAUGAAACUAAAGCGAACACGCGCGUAUAUCUUUAGCAGCAAUGUACAUAAACCUCAGUCAUAAUUGGCGUAGUAAGACAAUACGCGAUAUGAAUUAAGUUGGCGCAAAAUAUCAUUAGGGGAAUUGACAGCAUCGCGACGGCAGAGGUGGGGAUCCGGCGCCGCUCGACCCGCAUCCAUCGUACGUAAGGUCCACCGGAGAUAUUAUCGCGUAGUGUCUAACUACACCACUUAUGAACGAAGUUCGUGUACUACUAAUUUUUUUUUUUUUUUUUUUUAUGGUGUCCAAAAGUUGAAAGUACAUUUAAAAACAAGGAUUUUGGCGCCUAUUAGAGCCCGUAAUUUUAAUAACACGGGAAAUUUUUUUUUUUUCAUUUUUGAAUUUGAAUUAAUUCGGAACGGCUUGUUCACGCAACACAUCCCAGUGAGAGGAUUUAUAGGAAAUUUA
rnacentral:misc_RNA from 1 species